UACGGAGGGGGCUAGCGUUGUUCGGAAUUACUGGGCGUAAAGCGCACGUAGGCGGCUUUGUAAGUUAGAGGUGAAAGCCCAGGGCUCAACCCUGGAAUUGCCUUUAAGACUGCAUCGCUUGAACAUCGGAGAGGUAAGUGGAAUUCCGGAGUGUAGAGGUGAAAUUCGUAGAUAUUCGGAAGAACACCAGUGGCGAAGGCGACUUACUGGACGAUUGUUGACGCUGAGGUGCGAAAGCGUGGGGAGCAAACAGG
rnacentral:rRNA from 1 species